rnacentral:lncRNA from 1 species
CGGACCCAGAGGUCAACUUAAGCAAUUGUCCUUGCCCUCUUGCUGUAGGGACCAAUCGGAAAGCGGAAUCUGAGCCAGUCUGGGAAAGGACGAUUCUCAGUGGGCGUGGGUUAUGUUGCGUCAUUCAUGGUUUAGCCAAUCAUAUAACUUCUCCAGUCGUGGUUUCCUGCGUUUGUAGAUGGAAGGAAGAACUUGUGUGCUUAGACCUGACGCUGGGAGGAGAUGCUGCCACCUAGGUUACUUGUAGGACCCUAUACGGCAACCUCCUUUGCCAGGAACUAUUUAUAAACAUCCUGCAGGAAAAUGAGUCAAGGAAGCUUUUCUUUUGAGCUAUUUACAGCUUUUAGCAAUUGAGUAAAGUAUACUCCUGUGAACAAAAUUUGGAACAUAUUUGUUUCUCUCUAACUGAUUUCUCCAGAAUUUGGAACUAGUUAACCAGGAACCCUCUCUUGGGGUGUGGAUCGAGACCCCUUUCUGGUAACGAGAGCACAGCUUGGUUUUAUACAUUUUAAGGAGACAUGAGACAUCAAUCAACGUAUAUAAGAUGAACAUUUUGAUCUGAAAAGGCCUCUUUAAAUAUACACUUCUCUGUAGUGUAUGCUAGAAAUGGAGUGGCUGGAAUAAAAGUGGCUGAAUCAUCUUCAACUCUAGUAGCUGAGACCAAUGAUGCUGACCUCCCUCAAAAGCUGCAUUUCUGAAUUUCUGAAGGCAAACUGUCUGCCUAUAUUGUACAGCAAAAUAAUUUCCUGUAUUAAAACGUUUUUAUUGCUCUAAAUUUCUAGAUUAAACUCUGCUUAGGUAUUGCUAAGAGGGUAGCCAAGUAUAGAAACUUAAAUUUACUGACAGAAAUCUAGAGAAUGCUUAAUUUUUUUUCCAGCAGUGAAGUAGAAGAGACAGGGAUAUCCCAGAAGGUUAUGCAAAACAUCAAGAGAAGAUGAGAGGAGUCUAUAUGUCAGAAUACACAUUUCCCACCUUGCCCAACAGUAGAAAAACAUAAGAAGAGAAAAACAUUAAAAAAUGACAAGGAAGUUAAUGGAAGUCAGCAAUGUGAUGGUGUUUGGAGGUGGAGCCUUCAGAAGGUAAUUAAUGCCCUUGUAAGAAGAGGCCAGAGAGCUUGCGCACCUUCUUCCUGCCAUGUGAGGAGCCAAGAAGCCGGCUGUCUGCAACCUGCAAGAGGACCCUCACUAGAAGCUAGCCAUACUGGCAUCCUCAUCUUGGCUUUCCAACUUCCAGAACUGUGAGAAGUAUAUGUUUGUGGUUUAGUCAAUGGUCUAUGGUAAUUUUUUUAUAGCAGUCCCAGCCAAGACAGUGCCUCAUUUACUACAUACCAUUUAUAUUAUUAUAUAGGCUCCUUUCAGAAACCCAUGUUCAAAUAAGAGAUAAGAUACUGAAACACAUAACACCUUCACUAGUUUUUAGUAUACAAAUAUUGAGAAAUAGUUUGUUAUUAACUAUCUCAUCCAAGAAAUGCAGAUUCAUGUUGUUUCUAAUUUUUUAUAUAUAAUUGACAAAAUGAAGAAACUUAACACCAUCCUAGAUUUUAGCUGCCCAAAGAAUGAAAAGAAUGAAAAAAAAAUCUUUGAAAACCCACAAGUGAUAUGGAUCUAAUUUAUGGUUAAAUAGAUAUAGAUAACAAACAGAAUACGCCUGUUUAAAACUGUUAAAAUGACAUUGGUUCUAAUUAUACUUUUAUUUAAAUUGAAAGACAAGGCAUUUAUAUGGUAUCUCUAACCAUCACAACUUUUGUGUGACAAAAAGAAAUUAUCACCAAAAUACACCUCCUUAAGUAAGUGUCUGAUUUCACACUUCCAGAAAAAGUGCUCUUUCUGGUCAAGCCAGCAAGAAUUGAGAAAGAUUAAGAAAGUGCUUCAAAGAUGUUUAUUAAAAAGUUGUCAUAAAAAUGUGAAGUAGAUGUAGCAUCAAGCAUACCAAAUAAAGUAAAACUGUCAUCAAGAAGAUUCAACAGCUAUGAAAAGAGUUCUUCAAAAUAUGAUAUGUUUUUCUAGAUGAUAAUAAAAUUUAUCAAUUCCAAAUGUCCACAUUAGUCUUUCAUAAAGACACCAAUGAGUCACAGGAAAAAAAAUUAAAAAUAAAAAAACCCUAUCUCAGGGAAUCAUGCUAACAACCUGAUGUGUUUUCUUCCACAUAUUUAUGUCUGCUUAUAAGUAUUUACAAACAUAUAUUCGCAUAUAUGCAUUUUGAAUUUUUUCUGUUGCUGCACUUAAAUUUUUUUCAUAAUAAAACAAGACUCCUGCAAUUUGCUUUUUUAGGUAGACUAUGUAUCCCUGACAACCAUCCAGGUCAGCUUGAUGAUUAACACAUUUGUUUUAAUAGCUACAUAGUAUUCUAUAAGUAUGAUUUAUUCAAGUGUGUGUGUGUGUGUGUGAGAGAGAGAGAGAGAGAGAGACAGAGACAGAAAAAGAGAGACAGAGGAGGAUAUUCAGGGGUUCUGUCCACUACAACAUUUUGUCACAGGCAACAGUGCUGAAAUGAAAACACUUGAACACAUAUUUUUAUGAUUUUACUUUUUAUGAUUUUCAAAAGUGUGUUUGCAAGGUCAAAGAAUAGAUGUGUUGCUCUUAAUAAAUAUCAAAAGAUUAUUUACUACUACCCAAAUUAUACUGUAAUUUCUUCUUGAACCGUUUAAUUUGUAUCCUCCUAUCAGUGAGGUUGAGAAAUAUUUUAUGCUUACUGACUUUUGCAAUAUUUCUUUCACGAAUUAUUGCCAUUUUCUAUUGUCCAUUUUUCUGUUAGGCUCUAUGAUUAGCUUAUUAGGCUUUGUGGUUUAUAUGCAUCAGAAAGAGUAAGACUUAAUUUUGUGUGGAACAAAUACCCUGGUGUAGCAUGUUUCAUUAGAAUUUGUUUAUAGAGAUAUUUGCCAUAGAAAAGUUAUUUUUUAUUAGUAAAGAAUGCUUUGUAUUUCCUUUGUGGCUUCUAAGUACCCUUUUUUGGUUAUUAUACCUUUAUCCAUAAGUAUCUUUAAAUAUUACAAAAAUUACAUAUUCUUUUAAAUAUUUUAAAGAUUUAUUAUAUUCAUUUAGGUUUUAAUCCACUUUUAAUUUUUUAGAUGAAAAGUAAGAGAAAAGUAUAUAAAUCAUGAGCACAAAUUGAACUAACCAAGGUAACAAUCAAUCUGCUCAAGAAAUUGAGCAUCACCACCACCUCCUCCUGCACUGUCCAAAUCAGCACCCCAGUACUCCAAAGCAAAUGUUACUCACUACACUGACUUCUAACACAAUAGACUUGUUUUGUCUGUUUUCAACUAUACAAAAAUGAAUCAUAGAGUAUGUGUUGUUUUGUAUUUGGCUCCUUUCACUAAAAUUUUGGUUUAUAAAAUUCAUCCAUGUGGUUGAACACAGUUGUAGAUUGUUCAUUUUAAUUGUUUUACAGUAUUUAUUGUGUGACUAAAACACUACUUAUUUAUUCUAUAAUUGACAGACUUUGGGUUGCUUUUGCUUUGGGAGUAUAAACAUUUUUAUAUCUAUGCUUUAGGUACAUGUUCAUGAAUUUGUGCUGAAUAAUUACUUGAGUGUGAAAUUGUUAUGUUAUGCGAUAUAUAGUAGUCAAAUAUAGAAGAUAAUGCAAAACAAUUUAAAGUGAUUGUAGCAGUUUGCUGUAUUCUACAGCAGCAGAUUGUAGCAGAUUACUGUAUUCUACAGCAGCAGCAUGUGAGAUUGCCAGUUGCUCAAAUUCGUGCCAAUACUUGGUAUUUUUUAUCUUUUAAUUUUAGACAUUCUGGAGAGUGUGUAGUAAUUUUUCAUCUUGGAAAAUUACAUUAAAUUAGUAUCCAUUUCUCUAAUUUUGAUAACAUUUUCAUAAGUUUAUUGUUAUUAGAUAUUUUCUUUAUUUUGAAGUGCUUAUUGUCCAUUUUACAUUGGGUCAUCUGUUAUUGAAUUGUAAACAUUCCUUGAAUAUUUAAAUAUGAGUGCUUGGUCAGUUUUUGUCACAAAUAUCCUCUUUUUUCACUUUUUGCCCUUUUAUUAUUCUGAAAAUGCCAAUUGAUUAAAAUUAAUUUUACUAUUGUUCAAUAUAUCAUGCUUUGUUUUUUCACAGUGUGUUUUGUGUCCUGUUUAAGAAUUCCUUCUCUCAUUUGGCAUUCAUUUGGCAUUCAUUUGGCUUGGCAAAAUUGGCG